UUGGAAUAAAACUUAAAAGCUGUGGAGAUCCUCAUCUAAUAGUGCUUUUUAACAGAAUAAUAGAAGACUAGAAAAUAACGUUUGCUGUAGAUAUGUGUACAACAGAAAAAUAUUACAUAAUAUCUCUUCCAACAAUAAAACAUACUGUUCCAAACAAUAUGAAGAAUAAUUACUGCUAUACUUGUUGUGUUUGGUAACAUGACACAUGUAUGUCUGGUUUCCAAGGGGACUGCACUUCAGAGCACAUGACAGAAAGGAGCUGCUGCGUGGUCCAAGAGGUCCCUGUAUGGGGACAGCAAAGGGAGGGGGACUGUGGGCCAUAUCACAGAGAACACUACACACAAACCAAUAAAACAAAACAAAGGGGAAACAUCUAUCUCCUGUUUUGCCUAGUUGCCUUCCUGUAUGCUUUUUAGAUGGGUUGGUUGGUUGUACCAACACCAUUUUCCCAUGGUGGCCAUUUACUUUUCCUCUGUUGUCACAUCUAUGAACUAGAUCCUCUUCCUCAAGUAGGUUUCACAGAGAGCUCAAUCAGAGGUCUCUGUUCUGGGUGGCAGUUUAUUUUCUUCACUUCUGCACAUUUUUCAUACAGCAUAAACAGAAAGCAAUGGUUCAAACAUCAAAAUGUUUCAGGCAAAAUGGCAUAGAAGCAUUAACUCCAAAGACUUCUGCAGUAGAGCCUCAGGCAAGAGCAAAGGAAUACCAGCCUAACAGGAACAAACACCUUGUAUUCUAACCCCACCUUUUCUUUGAAUUUGGCAACCCAGGCAUAAUGAAUGCUUUGAGCCAAAGCCUCCCAUGAAGAUGAGUUAAAAGGUCAGAUUAAAGAGCAGGUCACCUUCCGUCUGAUGAUGCUUACUAAGUAGCCGGGUUUACUCCUCUUCCAGCUAAUUGGAAACAGAAUAUAAAGGCCUGAAUUACUACUUCACUUACUUUAAAAUGUAGACCCAGUGAUGCAGUCAGCACCAGCAGGGGUUGGUCCUGGUAGCUGAGGUGUCACCACUAGCAUAGAGAAAUGGAACUGCAGCAUUUUAAUACAUACAUUCACCUCAAGUUUGAACAAGGGGAUGACCAGAGCAGCCUUUAUGCCAAACCUGUUAGUACAGAACUGAUUGGGGCACCUCUCAGUCCAUGUGCAAUGAAGACAGCAGCCCAGAUUUCUUUUCAUGACAUCUGGACAGUGAAGUGAGUGAGAGCAUUCAGUUCUGCCUUUGCACCUUGAAUCUCAUUUUAUCUCCAGCAGUUUGAUUCAGAUUAUAAAGAUACUGGAGAGUCUUACACAAGAGAGUCAAAAAGGAACGUUUGCAAGUAUUGGUAACUUCUUGGCUUACAUUUUUCAUCUCUGCAAACUCCACUAUUUCUGCUCUCAAUAAAGCAUACCAGCGCACAGUGAAAUGUUUUGUUUCUACUCUUCUUCAUUAUGAUAUAACUGAUAAAUGCCUCAAUGGCUGGUCUGCAGAUAAGCCUCCAGUGGCGAUGCUUUCAGUUAGCCACCACUUAAUGGCCUUAAAGAAAUCCACCAACAUCUUAGAGGGGGGCUGAUUUUACAGUCCUUUGCCAUCACUUCUAUCAGUUGCAGGGGAAGAAUCGGAACAGGACUACAGAAGAGUAGAAUCUCUGCAAAGUGAUUCUGACACACCAUCCACACAGCCUACAGGUGCUCUGUCACCAGCUGCUCUGGAAUGGAGUAGUGCUGAAACAACCAGCCUAUGUGAUAGGAGGCACAGUACUUCUGCUAUCUUUCUAGCUACAAAUGGUGGAUUUUGUAAAACAGCAGCUCACUUGUAGAUUAUUACACACAAGACACAGCAGAAUUCUGAUGGCAGAGAACAGAUCCAGGUGUCAGGAUUGUUAGUGAAGUUCUCUUUUAUAGCUUGAACCUAAGUAAUGCACAGAUCAACGUAAAGGCUGAAUGCCUCUUUCAGUUACUAAGGAGCAGCACUAUGAACUCUGUUGAAGCCUGUGACAUUUGAUAAUACCAUCAUGAUAUUUAUUUUCACCGAAGGUAAAUUUGUGUUACAAAUUCAGAUGAUGAAAAUAAUCAUUCUUUUAAAAUGUGUGUUAUAUAAAAAUACUGUAACCCGAUUUGUAUACUUAUUCAGAAGAUUGCUAACAUAAAUCUCCAUUGUUUGCCAUUUAUUUAUGACUUUCUCAGUCUUACAGGCCGAUAAGAAUUAAUCUAAUAAUGUCCUUUAUGUUGUUAUAGGCACGGAUAAGUUUUAAGGGAUUAUACCCUUUGGUUUUAUGUUUUCCACAGCAUUUUUUUCCUCAGCUUCUUAACUUAAUAUCCUAUUAAGGUUUAAACCG
rnacentral:lncRNA from 7 species